rnacentral:rRNA from 1 species
AACGAACGCUGGCGGCAUGCCUAACACAUGCAAGUCGAACGAGACCUUCGGGCCUAGUCGCGCACGCGUGCGUAACGCGGGGGAUUCUGCCCUUCGGUCGGGCAUAACGGAGAGAAAUUUCAGCUAAUACCUUAUAAUGUCUCCGGUCCAUAGAUUUAUCGCCGAGGGAUGAGCCCGCGUGGGAUUAGGUGGUUGGUGGGGUAAUGGGCUAUCAAUCCUUCGUUCCUUAGCUGGUCUGGGAGGAUGAUUAGCCACACUGGGGCUAAGACACGGCCCAGACUCUUACAGGAGGGAGCAGUGGGGGAUAUUGGACUGUGGGCGGAGUGCUGAUGCAGCACUGCCGGGUGAGUGAUGAAGGCCUGAGGGUUGUGCAGCUAUUUUAUCCGGGACGAUAAUGACGGUACCGGGAGAAUAAGCUCCGGCUAACUCCGUG